CCUCCACCUCCUCCACCUCUGCUCUCGUGUGGCUCCUCGACAGGCGCGGUAAACGGUGAUCCCCCCGCCUCACACACAGGCUAGACGCAGACUUCUACACGCGGUACGGGCUUGAGGUCCAUGUCUCGCGAUGAACGCCGCGUGCGUCUUGUGCGCCGGUGUUAUGGCAACGGAAAACCUUCAGGACACCUGGAGGAGGCCCGUCACCCUGUGGCUGCCGCUGCUGCAAACUGAAGCCCAGCUGAAUGCUAUGCUUGUGUGUUAUGACGAACGUCUGAGCCCAGAGUUAAGGAAGUUUUGGUUAAUUUAGGCACAUUUUUGGCUGUUUUCUCCCACCAACCUUCUACCCAGACGUCCUCAAAUCAGCUCAGGGAUGAGCCCCAAGAAAACAGACACAGCCCGCGGUGUGAUCACCUUCCACACACCCUCUCCUGUCAGCCUGCUGAAAUCAGAGAAAAUAGUAGUAAGUCACCACAAUAUUGACCUCCCCCCGGUGCACGGCAGAUGUGGAGGAUUCUGCAGAGAGCG